UCUGCGGUCCCUGAUUAUCUUAUCCAAAAAUCCUCCCUUUCCAGCGACGACAGCGACGGCGGAGUACGAGCAGGUGAGGUGUGGCGCCUUCGUCGGACGGCUACAACCGCGGCGGAGGAGAAGGCGGACGCCAUGGGCGCGGCUACAGAGGAGGCGGAGGAGAAGGCGGACGUCGUGGCCUUGCUGCGCGGUUACAGCCGAGGCGGAGGAGAAGGCGAACGCCGUGGCCUUGCUGCGCUCGUGGGUGUUCAUGGAGUAUGGUUAGCCCGCCGUGCCGCCAACAGUCCUCUCUGGCCUCCUCCGUGGUAUCCUUCUCAACCUCUGGUGCUCCUGUCGUGAUUUGGAUGGGAAAUUGGAGGCCGGCCGUGUCCUUGUCUGACACAAAUUGAUGUAGUUCCCGGCCCGGAUUUGAUUGGCUACUAUAAGAAGCAAGGGUCCUCGGCCGGAAUCUCCAUCAGGUUUUGCCCUUCGACCAUAAUCUCCAUCAUCCCGUCGAAAUUGCAAUUUUUGACCAAACAUCCAAUGUCGAAAGAAGCGCCGAGUUCGCCGGAGGAACAAGAACGCCCGUCGAGCCGUGCAAUGUCUCCUGUGGCGGGUACACGAGAAGUAUGUAUCCCCUCGAAGCUACGCCACGGCGCCAUACAGCCUGAUGUUCGUCAGGCCUUGACCUGACCAUCACUGACUCCACCUUACUGCCACUGUUGUUGGAGAUGAGCUGGAUAGCAAGCAUUGGUUUCCUCUUUGCUUCCACUUCACUGCUCUCUGACUCUCCGUAAUUGUAAAACACCUAAUACGAUUCUUCAGCACUUGAUACUGGUGGUCAUGGUCUUCUUCCCUUAGUGUUGCGAGAUUUGGUUUUAGUUAGUAAUCUUGAGAUCAACGUUUACUCAUGGAUUGCUUAGAUGGAGGACCACUGUUGGUUUUGUACUUAGAUGCGAUUGUGAAUCAUGCACGGUUCAAUUCAGAUUCAUGUGGUAUUUUUUCUAAAUUUGUGCCUGCCUGAACAUUAUUACUCUUAAACUAUGAAUAAUGAUUUUUGCAACUGUAUGAGAAUUUCUUUGCCGCAUCACAAGAAAAACAAUUUGAACAGAGAACUGUACUGAACCUUCUAAUUAUUGUAUGAGCUUGCUUCACUUAAUUUGAACUGCAUACAUAGGCUACUUUGCUCACGCAUGCAUCGAUACUAUUGUGUAUAAAUCAUGCUUAUGUAUCUCAGUAUUUGUGUGUCUAAGAUGACGAUCUCAAAGACCAUAUUUUAAUGCUUUUAUGAUGUUAAAAUGUUUUUGACUCCCCUAUUGUAGUUAUUAUUUCUGUCCCCUUGCUCGAUUAUGCUUUUUCUUCAGUUAACAAUUAGCUUUGCAAAUUAUAGAUAUGCCAGCUUCACCUAUGUUAUGAUUUUUCUUCAGUUAAGAAUUGGCUUUGCAGAAUAGUUAUGCUAGCUGCACCUAGCAAAACAGGAUUAGAAAUAUCUAGAAUUGAAGGACUUCAGUUGGUGUUUGUUAGCUAGAUGGAAUUAGAUUUGUCGACAUAUCAGUUUAUGGGUGGCUAUUUGAUUGGUGAAUUUACCUGCUAUAUGAGCACUAUUUUUAAUAAAUAGUGUGCAGCUAGAGAAGUAUAUGCACAGGAUUAAUGAUAAAUGAUUCAUAGAAAGAAUUUUUAAAAAAAUUGCUAUUCUUAAUUUCCUGAGAACUAGCGUAUAUUUUUUCCACUACAUUAGCCUUCAGAUUUUUCUUGGAUUUGCUUUCUGCACCAAUGUUUUCAGUGCCGUCCUUCUUCCGCGAUGCUGCUGCAUGCCAGGAUUCGCAGUGGCACCGCCGCAACCAGCGAGGACAUGAGAUCACGAGGAUUGUUGCCGCUUCGGAGGACAUGGGAGCUGCCAUAGCCAGCGAGUACGUGAGCGCACACAGUCACCAUCACUUUAGAGGAUGUGAGAGCCAUCUCAUCUUGAGAGGAUGCGCAUACCAUCUCCAAGUAUAUAGCAGUAACAUCUCUCCCUCACCCCACUCCGAUAUGUAGCAUAUUUUUCUCUCCUAUUGUGAGACUGCAGUGUGUGCAACAAGUGUUCUUCUAAAUGUCUGAGCAUAAAGACUGCUCAUGGGUGAUGCUUCUGUGACCAAACCUCUAGGUAUGUCCUUUGCGGCCUUUCCUAUAAAUAAGUAUAUGUCAUCGCCAUAGUAAUUGUGUACUUCUCUAUUAGAAAAUAACAAGAUAGUUUCAGUGUUGUUGUUCUCAAUCAUGUUACCCUUUAGUGCAAGACAUCAAUGUGCUCUUAAGAGAAAGGAAUUUUUGGCAGGAAAGGUAAGCAAUUCGAACCAAUCUCCUGCAGGUACAUUUUCUUUUGGUUUAGUUAAUGAAUGCUUUGGUAUAGGUCUAAUCUCUCCUUCCUGGAGAUGAUUCCGUCUUAUUUCUUUUGUGGGGACUUACUUUGGUUUCUUUAAUUAGGAUGCCUUCACCUGGUAUUUUUUUUAUUAAUGAAUAUAGAUUAGUUGUGUUGUUUUGACUCACCUAAGCUAGCCGUAUAGUUAGAAAUUCAGCAUGCACAUAAGGCGAUCUGGUUGAGUUUUACUAGGUAACUGUAUCAUUGUUGUCUGCAUGCUGAAAAGGUUAUGGGUAUGUACGGAAACUAAAUGAUGCUUUGUUCAUCUGUUGUCGUUGUUUCCACUAGAUGAUGCUUUGUUCAUCUGUUGUCGUUGUUUCCUCCCCGUGAAGCCCUCCCAAACGUCAUCUCCUGCCCUUCUCGUGCUGCUCGCUGAAAUUGCUCAUGCUGCUACCUUUGCAUGGUGAGGGAGUUCUGUGAAUACACUCCGAGGGUGGGGAUCCCAUUUCAGUGAAAUCAUGCUACUAUAACUUAAACAAGCCAAGAAGAUGAGGGAUAGUCCUUCUUUGGAGCGAUAUUUCUUCCAAGGAUGGUUGUUGGCAUGGAUCAGCACCAGUAAUACCCUGAAUUUUCUGAACUUGGCUCCUCUAGCCUGACUUGAUGAUGAAAGUUUCAGCCAAGUGAAUUUAUUAUGUAUAUUUGGCUUGGAGUUGAUCCCAAAAAAUAAAUUUCUUAUGUCUAUUUUACAAAGAAAGCGUUCAAUUA